UACGUAGGGCGCAAGCGUUGUCCGGAAUUAUUGGGCGUAAAGAGCUCGUAGGCGGUUUGUCGCGUCUGCUGUGAAAACCUAAGGCUCAACCUUGGGCUUGCAGUGGGUACGGGCAGACUAGAGUGCGGUAGGGGUGACUGGAAUUCCUGGUGUAGCGGUGGAAUGCGCAGAUAUCAGGAGGAACACCGAUGGCGAAGGCAGGUCUCUGGGCACUUACUGACGCUGAGGAGCGAAAGCGUGGGGAGCGAACAGG
rnacentral:rRNA from 1 species